rnacentral:rRNA from 1 species
AUGUCUUCGGCAAGCUCCCGCGCCACCUCGCGGAUGCAGAGCUGGGCGCGUGUGGAGAUGCCUGUCUUCGUCUAUCUGCGGUGCCGGGCGAACGUUGAUCGGAGGGUUUCUCACACACCGAGGAACCAGAAUCGUCCGUUCUAUGUGUGCAGCGAGAAUGGGGUGACAUGCUUCUUUCUUUGGGUCGAUGCUCUGGCCAAGACUAUAAAUGAACUGCAAGAAGAGCAUGAAGAAUGGUUGCGCAUGCUGCCCUGAACUGCAGUGGUCGCACCACGAGCUCCGGAAGAAGAGAUGGAGGGUGAAGCACGCACUGACAGAGAGCUAGCUGUUGAGCUUAGGAUGUUGAAGAAGAAGGUUAGGAAGCUUGAAGAUAAAGCACUACCAAUACCCAUUUGCAAAUACUUUUGGGCAUUUGUAGGUAUGGUAAUCGCACUAGUUGUAAUGUUGAAAAUGUAUGGAAAUGCAUGA